AGCUUUGCACAGUGGCAGUAUCAUAGCCAAUGAGGUUUUUCCGAGGCGCGAUUAUUGCUAAUUGUUUUCUAAUUCAGAUGGAAUACUGAUCUGGAGAACAUGAGCAAAAGCAACAAUGCA
rnacentral:snRNA from 2 species